rnacentral:rRNA from 1 species
UGGGGAAUAUUGCACAAUGGGCGCAAGCCUGAUGCAGCAACGCCGCGUGAGGGACGACGGCCUUCGAGUUGUAAACCUCUUUUGGCAGGGAAGAAGCGAAAGUGACGGUACCCGCAGAAAAAGCACCGGCUAACUACGUGCCAGCAGCCGCGGUGAUACGUAGGGUGCAAGCGUUGUCCGGAAUUAUUGGGCGUAAAGAGCUCGUAGGCGGUUUGUCGCGUCUGCUGUGAAAACCCGAGGCUCAACCUCGGGCCUGCAGUGGGUACGGGCAAACUAGAGUGCGGUAGGGGAGAUUGGAAUUCCUGGUGUAGCGGUGGAAUGCGCAGAUAUCAGGAGGAACACCGAUGGCGAAGGCAGAUCUCUGGGCCGUAACUGACGCUGAGGAGCGAAAGCAUGGGGAGCGAACA